GCCAGACUCCUACGGGAGGCAGCAGUGAGGAAUAUUGGUCAAUGGGCGGAAGCCUGAACCAGCCAAGUCGCGUGAGGGAAGAAGGCCCUGCGGGUCGCAGACCUCUUUGGACGGGGAGCAAGGCCGCCGACGUGUCGGCGGAAGGAGAGUACCCGUAGAACAAGCAUCGGCUAACUCCGUGCCAGCAGCCGCGGUAAUACGGAGGAUGCGAGCGUUAUCCGGAUUUACUGGGUGUAAAGGGAGCGUAGACGGCAAUGCAAGCCAGAUGUGAAAACCCGCAGCUCAACUGGGGGAGUGCAUUUGGAACUGUGUAGCUGGAGUGCAGGAGAGGUAAGCGGAAUUCCUGGUGUAGCGGUGAAAUGCGUAGAUAUCAGGAGGAACACCAGUGGCGAAGGCGGCUUACUGGACUGUAACUGACGUUGAGGCUCGAAAGCGUGGGGAGCAAACAGGAUUAGAUACCCCGGUAACU
rnacentral:rRNA from 1 species